UGGUCACUGGAGUCGGAGAGAGACUGGACAUUGGCCCAGGGUCUGAGGCUGAAGGAGAAAUACUGGGGGUGGUGGUUGGGGUUGUUUCUUGUUUUGCCUGUGAGUGAUUUAAAAAGCUUAUGCCUGUAGAAUUCAGCCUUACCUGCACAUCCAAGAUUGAGGCCGCUGGAAGCAUGUUUCCCACCACUCAGAUAAUGUGAAUAUGUGUACCAACACCAACGGCAGCUGGUGGCCAUAGGCCUGGUUUACCAUGUGUCAGGGAAAUGCCCUGGAUGAGGAUUUCACUGGUUGACUGACCAUUUUGGGUUCCUAUUUCAAUGGCUUUGCAGCUUUUGAAGAUUUGCUGCUGCCCGGCACGAUCUGUAAAUACAAAACUGUAAACCUAAACCUCCCACCGUUUGUUAUUCAUCCUCUCACUUAACAGAUACCCUAUGUAGUUGAUUCAAGUGUGCUUGUUUAG
rnacentral:lncRNA from 1 species